UUUUCUCACUUGCAUGAGCUUGAUCUUCGUUAUCAUCUAAGCCGGCAAACUGGAGCUCUAAAUCGCAUAAUUGACAGAGGCAGCAAUGCAAUAAAUUUCAUUCUUACAGUGACAGUGUUCAAUAUUGUUCCCACAAUACUAGAGGUACUCACAGUUAUUUCUCCAACGGUUACCAUCCAUCAGUUGUGCAUACUGUGAUAUUGCUGUUGCUUUUGGUAAUUGAUGCCACUUAUUCU